AGGGGUUUCCCAACGACCUAAAGGCUGUAUCCUUUUGAACCAUUUUAUUAAUGUUAAUUCCUUACAGUAGCUUGAUUAUGUAGGUCUGAAUUUUAUGUGGCGACGUGGGACUUUAUUUCAAUGGUUUAAUAGAGUAAUUUACAACCAGAGAUGGUGUAGCAAAUUUUCAAAGGCCAUAGUUCAUCAUCUCCCUAAAGUGCAAUUGGAUCAUAUGCCUAUUUUAAGCAUUCCUUACAAUAG
rnacentral:lncRNA from 1 species